GUGGCGGACGGGUGAGUAAUGUCUGGGAAACUGCCUGAUGGAGGGGGAUAACUACUGGAAACGGUGGCUAAUACCGCAUAACGUCGCAAGACCAAAGAGGGGGACCUUCGGGCCUCUUGCCAUCAGAUGUGCCCAGAUGGGAUUAGCUAGUUGGUGAGGUAACGGCUCACCAAGGCGACGAUCCCUAGCUGGUCUGAGAGGAUGACCAGCCACACUGGAACUGAGACACGGUCCAGACUCCUACGGGAGGCAGCAGUGGGGAAUAUUGCACAAUGGGCGCAAGCCUGAUGCAGCCAUGCCGCGUGUAUGAAGAAGGCCUUCGGGUUGUAAAGUACUUUCAGCGGGGAGGAAGGUGUUGUGGUUAAUAACCGCAGCAAUUGACGUUACCCGCAGAAGAAGCACCGGCUAACUCCGUGCCAGCAGCCGCGGUAAUACGGAGGGUGCAAGCGUUAAUCGGAAUUACUGGGCGUAAAGCGCACGCAGGCGGUCUGUCAAGUCGGAUGUGAAAUCCCCGGGCUCAACCUGGGAACUGCAUUCGAAACUGGCAGGCUUGAGUCUUGUAGAGGGGGGUAGAAUUCCAGGUGUAGCGGUGAAAUGCGUAGAGAUCUGGAGGAAUACCGGUGGCGAAGGCGGCCCCCUGGACAAAGACUGACGCUCAGGUGCGAAAGCGUGGGGAGCAAACAGGAUUAGAUACCCUGGUAGUCCACGCCGUAAACGAUGUCUACUUGGAGGUUGUGCCCUUGAGGCGUGGCUUCCGGAGCUAACGCGUUAAGUAGACCGCCUGGGGAGUACGGCCGCAAGGUUAAAACUCAAAUGAAUUGACGGGGGCCCGCACAAGCGGUGGAGCAUGUGGUUUAAUUCGAUGCAACGCGAAGAACCUUACCUGGUCUUGACAUCCACAGAAGAAUCCAGAGAUGGAUUUGUGCCUUCGGGAACUGUGAGACAGGUGCUGCAUGGCUGUCGUCAGCUCGUGUUGUGAAAUGUUGGGUUAAGUCCCGCAACGAGCGCAACCCUUAUCCUUUGUUGCCAGCGGUCCGGCCGGGAACUCAAAGGAGACUGCCAGUGAUAAACUGGAGGAAGGUGGGGAUGACGUCAAGUCAUCAUGGCCCUUACGACCAGGGCUACACACGUGCUACAAUGGCGCAUACAAAGAGAAGCGACCUCGCGAGAGCAAGCGGACCUCAUAAAGUGCGUCGUAGUCCGGAUUGGAGUCUGCAACUCGACUCCAUGAAGUCGGAAUCGCUAGUAAUCGUGGAUCAGAAUGCCACGGUGAAUACGUUCCCGGGCCUUGUACACACCGCCCGUCACACCAUGGGAGUGGGUUGCAAAAGAAGUAGGUAGCUUAACCUUCGGGAGGGCGCUUACCACUUUGUGAUUCAUGACUGGGGUGAAGUCGUAACAAGGUAACCGUAGGGGAACCUGCGGUUGGAUCACCUCCUUACCUUAAAGAA
rnacentral:rRNA from 2 species